rnacentral:rRNA from 1 species
AACGCGAAGAACCUUACCAGGCCUUGACAUCCCGUGCUACGUCCAGAGAUGGGCGGUCCCCGCAAGGGGCGCGGAGACAGGUGCUGCAUGGCUGUCGUCAGCUCGUGUCGUGAGAUGUUGGGUUAAGUCCCGCAACGAGCGCAACCCUCGCCUUUAGUUGCCAUCAUUUAGUUGGGCACUCUAAAGGGACCGCCGGCGACAAGCCGGAGGAAGGUGGGGAUGACGUCAAGUCCUCAUGGCCCUUACGGCCUGGGCUACACACGUGCUACAAUGGCCGGUAUAAACCGCUGCAAACCCGCGAGGGGGAGCUAAUCGGAAAAAGCCGGCCUCAGUUCGGAUUGCAGUCUGCAACUCGACUGCAUGAAGCUGGAAUCGCUAGUAAUCGCAGAUCAGAAUGCUGCGGUGAAUACGUUCCCGGGCCUGUACACACCGACAUA